GAUGAACGCUAGCGGCAGGCCUAAUACAUGCAAGUCGAACGGUGUAGCAAUACACAGUGGCGCACGGGUGCGUAACACGUAUGCAACCUACCUAUCAUUGGGGGAUAGCCUUUGGAAACGGAGAUUAAUACCGCAUAAGACAGUAUCAUGGCAUCAUGCAGCUGUUAAAGCUUUGGCGAUGUUAGUUGGGCAUGCGUCCAAUUAGUUAGUUGGUGAGGUAACGGCUCACCAAGACGAUGGUUGGUAGGGGAUCUGAGAGGAUAAUCCCCCACAAUGGAACGUAGGUACGGGCCAGACUCCACCGGCAGGCAGCAGUAGGGAAUAUUGGGCAAUGGACGGAAGUCUGACCAAGCCAGGCCGCGUGCAGGAAGAAGGCGUUAUGCGUUGUAAACUGCUUUUUUAUAGGAAGAAGGAGACCUUGCGAGGUUUGGUGACGGUACUAUAAGAAUAAGCACCGGCUAACUCCGUGCCAGCCGCCGCGGUAACAC
rnacentral:rRNA from 1 species